ACAAUUUAAUGACUCCGACCCCUGGAAACCUGCAAAGGCUUUCUCGGGCGUGAGGGUAUGGGGAGUAAUUCCUGUGCCUGCCUUUAGCAAAGGAGUCCGGUUGUACAUGCG
rnacentral:ncRNA from 2 species